rnacentral:rRNA from 1 species
CACACCGUAAACGAUGAUCACUAGUCGUCGGAGGAUUCGACCCCUUCGGUGACGUCGCUAACGCAUUAAGUGAUCCACCUGGGGAGUACGCUCGCAAGGGUGAAACUCAAAGGAAUUGACGGGAGCCCGCACAAGCGGUGGAGCAUGUGGUUUAAUUCGAUGCAACGCGAAGAACCUUACCUGGGCUCGAAGUGUAGUGUAAACUCAUGAAAGUGAGGUAUCCCUUCGGGGAGCGCUACAUAGGUGC